rnacentral:rRNA from 1 species
CCUACGGGAGGCAGCAGUGGGGAAUUUUGGACAAUGGGCGCAAGCCUGAUCCAGCAAUGCCGCGUGUGUGAAGAAGGCCUUCGGGUUGUAAAGCACUUUUGUCCGGAAAGAAAUCCGUCUGGCUAAUACCCGGACGGGAUGACGGUACCGGAAGAAUAAGCACCGGCUAACUACGUGCCAGCAGCCGCGGUAAU